rnacentral:misc_RNA from 1 species
AAUUUUUACACAUUUGCUGAUAAUUAAUUUUCUAUUAUUAUGAGGAAAAUUUUGUACUAGUUCUUCUCUUGCAACUUCUGCAAGUGCAGUUAUAUGGCUCCAGAGUAUGCCUCUUCUGGUAAGCUUACCGAGAAAUCAGAUGUCUUUUCCUUUGGCGUUGUGCUUCUUGAGUUGAUUACGGGGCGUCGACCUAUUAAUAGGACUCAAUCCUUCCUUGAUGAUAGCAUAGUUGAUUGGGUACAUACUCAUUCCAAACUUUUUAACUAAUAAAAUUCUCCUUAGCUGUGCUGAAUUCAUGUGUUCUGCUGAUUUAUUAGCUGCAUAUGUGGUGCUACCAAUAUGCUAGGUGAAUAUGGCAACACUUGGUGAAAAAGGUAACGGUGGUCUAUAAUAGUAAAUGGUAGUAGCAAAUUGCAAACAAUGAGGGUAUUUGAAGGAUAGCUUAUAUAAUUUUGAGGUUCUCCUUGCUUUUGGUAUUUAUGCAAUCAUUUUUUUUGUUUUAGUUUCUUACGGAAGCUUUCUAAAGUGUUAAGCCACCAGAUGCUAAAGUAUCAAGUCCAGAACGUUCACAUUGAGGGCUAAUAAUAAUCAUGGUGAUGGUGAUGAAAAAUCAAAGCUUGAUUACCAUGGAAAAUAAUAAUUAUUUUUGUGAAUAUUCAGGCAAGGCCUUUGCUCAAACAAGCUUUGAAAGAAGGCACCUAUGAUGCUCUUGUUGAUCCAAAAUUACAGGGGGACUAUGAUUCCAGUGAAAUGACUCGAAUGAUUUCAUGUGCUGCAGCUUGUAUAUGUCCUUCAGCAGGGCUUCGGCCUCAAAUGAGCCAGGUGAUCCCAUAGGUGCUAAAUAUCCUGUUUUUGGUUUUGAUCAUAGGUCCCUUUGCUUUAUUAAUGGUGUAUAGAUCGAAUGGUCUUGGUCUUAUCCUUGAGUACGGUUCCCACCAGAAAACUAGUUAGUUGCAUUUCCUUCUUAGCCUUUGUCAAAGCAUUUGAAGACCAUUUCUAUAUGUGAUAUUUUUUUUUUUCCAAUAAAUAUAACACAGGCAUACACGGGUCACUAAUAGGAAUAAACCGUUAUUAAAAUCAUGACAAUUUAAAACCAUGAUAAUUUUAAUAGAAUUUUUCUGAAUACCAUAUCGAAUGUGGAAUGUGCAUGUGAGUGGGUUAUAUAGGAACAUUUCAAUAUGUGAUCUAAGUCAUCAUUCUUAUGAUCAAACUGACUUUCUUCAGAACCAGAGUUUUUUUAUUAAACUGCAUGCUGGCAUCAUAACCCUUUCUACCAUUUCUGUAUAAUUCAGAUAGUUCAAGCUUUGAUAGGGAAUAUGUCCCUCGAUGAUUUAAGUGAUGGAAUCACACCUGGGCACAGCAUGAUAUAUGGUUCUUAUGGAAGCUCAGACUAUAGUUCUAGCCAAUACAAGGAAGACUUGAAGAAAUUCAGGAAGAUGGCGCUAGAAAGCCAAGAACAUGGUAGUAGUGAGUACAGUGGAGUCACCAGUGAGUAUGGUGUACAGCCUUCUAGCAGUAGCACUGAAGGCCAACAAACUACAACAGAGAUGGAAUCACAGAGAAAGGAGACAACCACCAAAGAUUCCCAAGAAAUUUUGUGACAGUUUAUUAUAUUGUUCUCACUUCAUCAAUUUCAUGUUGGUGUGCCUGCGGAAAAAUCAAUAUUGGAGUCGCUCUCUGGUGGCAGGUCAUGAAAGUGUCUUGAAAAAUCAGCUUGGUAAAUGAGAUCUACAAAAUAUUAAUCUGAAAAUGAUUGGUUGAACCUAUAAAAUCCAUUAUUUCCACUUGAUCCAGUACUGGGAGAUGAUGGUAGACUUGAUUGUACUGAAUGUAGUGAAAUGGAGUUGAGAUGGGGUGCAUGAGAUGGGGUCUAUUUUGUAUUUAGGCAAUUUUUCUGGAUUAGACAACCGUAUCCUAAUUAUCUUGUUUUGUGCCUUUCUUUAUUUGUGUUCUUUGAGAGUUGGAUUAGAUAACGUGGAGAAGAUAAAUUGAACCAGAUUUCCAUCAUCCACUUUGGUGUCCUUUCAUGAGUCCAUUAAUAUUGUUGGAACAGUAAACUUCCAGGUAUGGACGUCUAAGGCCAACUUCAAUUGAAGUUGGUAAUUUCCUUGUGGGUUUAAAUUUUUCAUUCCUGAAUUUAUGUACCAUUUAACUCUAAUUGAUCAGUUGAUAUUUGAGGGCGA